GAACGCUGGCGGCAUGCCUUACACAAACAAGAAAAACGGCAGCAUGGAGGAGCUUGCUCCUCUGAUGGCGAGUGGCGAACGGGUGAGUAAAGCAUCGGAACGUGCCGUGUAGUGGGGGAUAACGUAGCGAAAGUUACGCUAAUACCGCAUACGCACCGAGGUGGAAAGCAGGGGAUCGCAAGACCUUGCGCUAUACGAGCGGCCGAUGUCAGAUUAGCUAGUGNGUCCCUAAAGGCCUACGANGACGACGAUCUGUAGCGGGUCUGAAAGGAUGAUCCGCC
rnacentral:rRNA from 1 species